UCACUACUUGCGUAGGCAGUCUCUUUAGAGUGCCCGGCAUUAUCCGGUAGCAACUAAAGACAAGGGUUGCGCUCGUUGCGGGACUUAACCCAACACCUCACGGCACGAGCUGACGACAGCCAUGCAGCACCUGUACAGAUUCGCCUUGCGGCACGGGAACUUUCAUCCCCCUUAAUCUGCGUUUCAAGCCCAGGUAAGGUUCUUCGCGUUGCAUCGAAUUGAACCACAUGCUCCACUGCUUGUGCGGGCCCCCGUCAAUUCCAUUGAGUUUCAGCCUUGCGGCCGUACUCCCCAGGCGGGGUACUUAAUGCGUUAGCUGCGGCGCUGAACGUGUCGAAACGCCCAGCACCUAGUACCCAUCGUUUACAGCUAGGACUAC
rnacentral:misc_RNA from 1 species